CCUACGGGAGGCAGCAGUGGGGAAUUUUGGACAAUGGGCGAAAGCCUGAUCCAGCAAUGCCGCGUGAGUGAAGAAGGCCUUCGGGUUGUAAAGCUCUUUUGUCAGGGAAGAAACGGUGAGAGCUAAUAUCUCUUGCUAAUGACGGUACCUGAAGAAUAAGCACCGGCUAACUACGUGCCAGCAGCCGCGGUAAUACGUAGGGUGCAAGCGUUAAUCGGAAUUACUGGGCGUAAAGCGUGCGCAGGCGGUUUUGUAAGUCUGUCGUGAAAUCCCCGGGCUCAACCUGGGAAUUGCGAUGGAGACUGCAAGGCUAGAAUCUGGCAGAGGGGGGUAGAAUUCCACGUGUAGCAGUGAAAUGCGUAGAGAUGUGGAGGAACACCGAUGGCGAAGGCAGCCCCCUGGGUCAAGAUUGACGCUCAUGCACGAAAGCGUGGGGAGCAAACAGGAUUAGAUACCCUGGUAGUCCACGCCCUAAACGAUGUCUACUAGUUGUCGGGUUUUAAUUAACUUGGUAACGCAGCUACGCGUGAGUAGACCGCCGNGGGAGGUACGGUCGGUCGAGAAGUUAAACGUAACUUAAAUUAGUAAGUUAGACGGCGUGAGACGUUGCCGACGGACGACGACGAGGGGAGGUUAGGAG
rnacentral:rRNA from 1 species